rnacentral:rRNA from 1 species
UACGUAGGGGGCAAGCGUUGUCCGGAUUUAUUGGGCGUAAAGAGCGUGUAGGCGGCCAGGUAGGUCCGUUGUGAAAACUCGAGGCUCAACCUCGAGACGUCGGCGGAAACCCUCUGGCUAGAGUCCGGAAGAGGAGAGUGGAAUUCCUGGUGUAGCGGUGAAAUGCGCGGAUAUCAGGAAGAACACCCGUGGCGAAGGCGGCUCUCUGGGACGGUACUGACGCUGAGACGCGAAAGCGUGGGGAGCAAACAGG